rnacentral:tRNA from 1 species
GCCGAAAUAGCUCAAUUGGGAGAGCGUUACACUGAAGAUCUAAAGGUCCCUGGUUCGAUCCCGGGUUUCGGCA